GAUAAAUCAAUUUAAGGAAAAAUUGGAAAUAAAAAACAAAGAAUUAGAAAUAAAUAAUAUAGAUGUUGAAGAGACAGAUAAUUAUGAUUCAGAAGAUAGUGAAACAUAUACAGAAAUAUUAACAAAUACAAAAAAUUUAGAAAUCAAUGAAAAACAAAAAGAAAUUAAUGAGGAAAACUUAGAAAGUACCCACACAGAAAUAAAUACUCUUGAUAAAAAAGAAGAUAAAAUAUAAUACCUAAAACAGCAGAAAUAAGAAAACCUAUAUAUUAUAAGAGUAAGUUUAAAAAAUAUAAUGAAUAUGACAAAUGGACACCAAAACAAAUAGUUAAUAAAAA
rnacentral:lncRNA from 1 species